UUUAUAUGUGUGAGUGUGUGCGUGUGAUCCCGUGUGCUGCCAUGUUGUCUGAGAAAUCAGCAUCAGUUCUGUCACAGGUUGAUUCACCCCUCCUGUGAGAGACUUCAAAGGCUCAUCACUUGCUGGGUCUCCCCGCCACCAUGCCAGCCUGCCUGUUGGCCCUGCUAUCUGGUCCAAUGAACGGCGGAAAGACUGAGCAGGACUACAGAGCGAUCGAAGAGAGAGUCUGCUGAACAAAGUUCAGGAAACCGAGGCUCAGUAACGUCUCACAGCUCCUAAGAGGCAGGAGUGCAAACUCACCCAAGCCGUCUGGCCCAGCCUCAGAUUAGCUUCAUAUGGCCUCGAGUAUAAACACCACAGAUUGGCUCGUGGGUUCUAUGGGGAGAAAGAGGCGGCAGCGUCAAGAGGAGAUCAUCACUAUUUUAAGUUUCUUCAUGGUUCAGCAGGCGGCUGCUAAGGGUUCUAAAGGAGCAAACAAAAUGAGAAAAGUUUAUUGAUUAGUUUACAAAUAACUGUUGUGUAAGAAAAGAAACUGAAUGGCAUGCUGGUUUACUGGUGGCACGCUUUUUCAGGCCCCUUUCAUUCUGUGGCCUCAGGAGCCAGCCUCAAGAGGAAAAUGAAAGAAGCAAAGCAAAUUCUUUGGAUAAAGAAGAGUUUGCACCAGGUUAAAAAAAUAAAUAAGAGGAACCGUUUAUUUAUCGUUGAUUUGGAAAUAGACCAAUACAUUCCUACUCUUCUUCAUCUCUUCAUGAAAAAAAAAAUCUCUUUAAAAAACUGUUUUCUCCCCUGGUCAACACAAUAAUGCUUUAGACAUUGGAUUCCAUGACACAGGUAACAAGCUUUGAUAUGGCCCCAGCCACUUACAAGUCGUUCACUGAGCAGUGUUUAGAAAAGGAGCAAAAGCAUCAAAUCUGUGCUUCUUCCUGGACUUCUAUCUGAAAGAUCCUGACCUAGAGGGAGAAAGGUCACUGCAGGUGAGGUAGUUGUACCCGGAAAAAACAAACAGGGGAACAACUACAGGACUUGCACCCCAGCUCUGCCCUGCUUCCUCUUUAUGGGACCUUGGCUGAUUAUUUCACUUCUCUAAGGUCAACCCCCUCUUUCUGGGGAAGGUUUGUUGGCGGGGGGAGUUCACCAAAAUGGGGGGUACAAAAGCCUAGGACGCAGUAAGCACUUGAGCAAUGCCACAGUUAACCACUCUGACCAUCAGUUAAGUGAAACGUCUAGUGUGAUACAGGGAGUGGUGAGACAGGGGCUGAGAUGGGAGCUGGGCAGACAGUGAGGGGCCUUCUGAACCCUGCCAAGGAGUUUGUCCUGGCGUCCACAGACUUGCAUACAAAAUAAGCAAAAAAAAAAAAAAA